rnacentral:misc_RNA from 1 species
GUAGGUGAACCUGCGGAAGGAUCAUUACCGAGCAAGGGUCCUCCGGGGCCCGACCUCCAACCCUUUGUCGUUCAAAAAACCUUUUGUUGCUUUGGCGGGACCGCCGCGCCCCCACGGGCCGGCCGUCUGGCUUCGGCCGGGCGAGCGCCCGCCAGGGGCCAACCGAAAACUCUUUCUGUAACAUGUCGUCUGAGUUAAAUUGUAAAUCAAUCAAAACUUUCAACAACGGAUCUCUUGGUUCUG